CAAAAAAUAGUUUAUUACAAAAUAUUAAUUUUGGAGAUUAAUGAUAUAUAUUAUCUAUAUUUUUUUGA
rnacentral:tRNA from 1 species